rnacentral:rRNA from 1 species
UACGGAGGGUGCAAGCGUCAAUCGGAAUUACUGGGCGUAAAGCGCGCGUAGGCGGCUGAUUAAGUCGGAUGUGAAAUCCCUGGGCUUAACCUAGGAACUGCAUACGAUACUGGUCAGCUAGAGUAUGAGAGAGGGAGGUAGAAUUCCACGUGUAGCGGUGAAAUGCGUAGAUAUGUGGAGGAAUACCGGUGGCGAAGGCGGCCUCCUGGCUUAAUACUGACGCUGAGGUGCGAAAGCGUGGGGAGCAAACAGG